rnacentral:tRNA from 1 species
GUCCCAGUAGUAUAGGUAUUACAGUGGUCUUGUAAACCACAAACGGAAAUCAACUUUCCCUAGGACU